rnacentral:rRNA from 1 species
AUUGAACGCUGGCGGCAGGCCUAACACAUGCAAGUCGAACGAGUGGCGGACGGGUGAGUAAUGUCUGGGAAACUGCCCGAUGGAGGGGGAUAACUACUGGAAACGGUAGCUAAUACCGCAUACCAUCGGAUGUGCCCCGAUGGGAUUAGCUAGUGGGGGGGGUAACGGCUCACCUAGGCGACGAUCCCUAGCUGGUCUGAGAGGAUGACAGGCCACACUGGAACUGGGCAACGGCCCAAACUCCAAGGGGAGGAAGAGGUGGGAAAUAUUGCACAAUGGGCGAAGGCCGGAUGCAGCCAGGCCGGGUGUAUGAAGAAGGCUUUCGGGUUGUAAAGUACUUUCAGCGAGGAGGGGUUACUCGCAGAAGAAGCACCGGCUAAUUCCGUGCCAGCAGCCGCGGUAUUC